UGGCUGCUGCGCUUCCACUGCUCAACUGGAAAGAGCAAGCAAACCAUUUCUGGGGUGUAUCCAUGGUUUUCCACCUUGAAAGGAGUCAGCUUCUGGUCUGGGGUCGCAUCCUACAAGUUUGUGUCCAAAUUUGGCAUCUCACUCUGCAUUACUCCCACCUCGGCAGCAGCUGAUGUUCCCCGGCAUGUGGACCUCUCCACUCCCACCAGAGUAAGGUCUUCCCAAGGGCUCUCUUGACAUCAAAGAUGAAACAUCUGCAAGGACACAUAAAGUGCUCCCGUUACGGCUGGUACCAGUCUGAGCCAGGCGCCUGGGGGAGACUCGAAGGGGGAGACGUGGCUUCCGUGUGCGAUGCAGCCGAGUGCUGGUGCCUCUCCCCGG